CUAAAGCGUUUUCCUUUUCAGUGACAAAUUUGUCUACAAAUGAAUCUCUAGCGUUUUUACUCUGUGAAGUUGAGGCGUAUGCAGAAUGCGAACAAGGAACCUGGGGAGUACAGUGUACAAACACUUGCAAUGAAAACUGCCCAGACCUGUGCCGUUUUGAUGAUGGACUGUGCAGUACUGAUUGCUUAGGAUAUAGUGAUCCACCCAAGUGUACAAAAGUAUGUGGAGCAGGAACCUGGGGUUUAAAUUGCACUAAGGCUUGCAGUAUUCAAUGUUUUAAUUCUUCAUGUGACUGUAUAACUGGAGUAUGUGACAAAGGAUGUUUGGGAUACAGUGAUCCCCCGUAUUGUACUACAGAGUGUAAAGCAGGUUUCUGGGGUCUCAACUGUACUAGCUUGUGCAACAGAUGUGUGGACUCAUCAUGCAACAGCAUAACUGGAUGGUGUGACAAAGGAUGUGUUGGCUAUGAAAAUCCUCCCUACUGCAAUGUAUUAUGUAAGGCAGGAACCUGGGGUUUACUCUGCACUAAGGCUUGCAGCAUUCAAUGUUUUAAUUCUUCAUGUGACAGAAUAACUGGAAUAUGUGAUAAAGGAUGUUUAGGGUACAGUAAUCCCCCCCAAUGUA
rnacentral:sRNA from 1 species